rnacentral:rRNA from 1 species
UACGGAGGGUGCGAGCGUUGUCCGGAAUCAUUGGGCGUAAAGGGCGCGUAGGUGGCCCGCUCAGCGUGCGGUGAAAGCCUGGGGCUCAACCCCGGGUCGGCCGUGCGAACUGGUGGGCUGGAGCACUGUAGAGGCAGGCGGAAUUCCGGGUGUAGCGGUGGAAUGCGUAGAGAUCCGGAAGAACACCGGUGGCGAAGGCGGCCUGCUGGGCAGUGGCUGACACUGGAGGCGCGACAGCGUGGGGAGCAAACAGG